ACGGGUGCUUAACGCGUGGGAAUCUGCCCUUGGGUUCGGAAUAACAUCGGGAAACUGAUGCUAAUACCGGAUGAUGACGAAAGUCCAAAGAUUUAUCGCCCAGGGAUGAGCCCGCGUAGGAUUAGCUAGUUGGUGAGGUAAAGGCUCACCAAGGCGACGAUCCUUAGCUGGUCUGAGAGGAUGAUCAGCCACACUGGGACUGAUACACGGCCCAAACUCCUACGGGAGGCAGCAGUAGGGAAUAUUGGACAAUGGGGGCAACCCUGAUCCAGCAAUGCCGCGUGAGUGAUGAAGGCCUUAGGGUUGUAAAGCUCUUUUACCCGGGAUGAUAAUGACAGUACCGGGAGAAUAAGCCCCGGCUAACUCCGUGCCAGCAGCCGCGGUAAUACGGAGGGGGCUAGCGUUGUUCGGAAUUACUGGGCGUAAAGCGCACGUAAGCGGCGAUUUAAGUCAGAGGUGAAAGCCCGGGGCUCAACCCCGGAAUAGCCUUUGAGACUGGAUUGCUUGAAUCUUGGAGAGGCGGGUGGAAUUCCGAGUGUAUAGGUGAAAUUCGUAGA
rnacentral:rRNA from 1 species